GGCUGGUUAGCUCAGUCAGUAGAGCGUAGCGCUAACAACGCUAAAGUCACGGAUUCUAUUCCUGUUCGGUCC
rnacentral:tRNA from 1 species